rnacentral:tmRNA from 1 species
AUAAUACACAAACUUACGCAAUGGCAGCCUAAACAGCACCAUGCGUGCCUGAUUUUUGCUCACUGAUGGCAAUUUGACGGCCUAAACUUUUAGUCAGAUACGUUGUUGUGGAGACUUGACGCAGCAAAAGAGAUUUAAAGUCCCGCAAAAUGUCGCUGUUUGAGACUGGCUUUGGCAUUUUGUUAAAUUUGAGAAAGUCCUAUGGUUGUAGACGUUGAUGUAGCAAGGUGUUUGGACAGGGGUUCGACUCCCCUCGCCUCCAUUA